UACGUAGGCAGCAAGCGUUGUUCGGAAUUACUGGGCGUAAAGAGUGUGUAGGCGGUGUUCCAAGUCUGGUGUGAAAUCUCCCGGCUUAACCGGGAGGGUGCGGCGGAAACUGGAGUGCUUGAGGGUGGGAGAGGUAAGCGGAAUUCCUGGUGUAGCGGUGAAAUGCGUAGAUAUCAGGAGGAACACCUGUGGUGUAGACAGCUUACUGGACCACUUCUGACGCUGAGACACGAAAGCGUGGGUAGCAAACAGG
rnacentral:rRNA from 1 species